rnacentral:rRNA from 1 species
AAUAUUGCUCAAUGGAUGGAACGCUGACGCAGCAAGGCCGCGUGAAGGAAUAAGGCUUUCGGGUUGUAAACUUCUUUGAUCGGGGACGAGGAUGACGGUACCCGAGGAACAAGCCACGGCUAACUACGUUCCAGCAGCCGCGGUAAUACGUAGGUGGCGAGCGUUGUCCGGAAUUACUGGGUGUAAAGGGCGUGUAGGCGGGGAGGCAAGUCAGAUGUGAAAUCCCGAGGCUCAACUUCGGAGCUGCAUCUGAAACUGUUUUUCUUGAGUACUGGAGAGGAAAGUGGAAUUCCUAGUGUAGCGGUGAAAUGCGUAGAGAUUAGGAGGAACACCAGUGGCGAAGGCGGCUUUCUGGACAGUAACUGACGCUGAGGCGCGAAAGCGUGGGGAGCAAAC